UACGUAGGGGGCAAGCGUUGUCCGGAUUUAUUGGGCGUAAAGAGCGUGUAGGCGGCCUGAAAGGUCAGCUGUGAAAACUCGAGGCUCAACCUCGAGACGUCGGUUGAAACCAUCUGGCUAGAGUCCGGAAGAGGAGAGUGGAAUUCCCGGUGUAGCGGUGAAAUGCGCAGAUAUCGGGAAGAACACCCGUGGCGAAGGCGGCUCUCUGGGACGGUACUGACGCGUGAGACGCGGAAAAGCGUGGGGAAGCGAACAGG
rnacentral:rRNA from 1 species